rnacentral:rRNA from 1 species
UGGGGAAUAUUGGACAAUGGGCGAAAGCCUGAUCCAGCCAUGCCGCGUGUGUGAAGAAGGUCUUCGGAUUGUAAAGCACUUUAAGUUGGGAGGAAGGGCAGUAAGCGAAUACCUUGCUGUUUUGACGUUACCGACAGAAUAAGCACCGGCUAACUCUGUGCCAGCAGCCGCGGUAAUACAGAGGGUGCAAGCGUUCAUCGGAAUUACUGGGCGUAAAGCGCGCGUAGGUGGUUCGUUAAGUUGAAUGUGAAAGCCCCGGGCUCAACCUGGGAACUGCAUCCAAAACUGGCGAGCUAGAGGAGGGCAGAGGGUGGUGGAAUUUCCUGUGUAGCGGUGAAAUGCGUAGAUAUAAGAAGGAACACCAGUGGCGAAGGCGACCACCUGGGCUCAUACUGACACUGAGGUGCGAAAGCGUGGGGAGCAAACAGG